GAGCCGUGGGCGCGGCGACGGCCGUCGGGCGGAGGAGGUGGCCCCAGCGCCAUUUUGUGAGAGCGAAGCGGUCGCUGGGCUGCUCCUGGAUCCCCGGCUGCUUGACUCUCCCUGUCGGGCCUCCUGUCAGCGGCCUAGCGGAAAAACGGAAGAUGUCGGAAUAUAUCCGGGUAACGGAAGACGAGAAUGACGAGCCCAUUGAAAUUCCAUCGGAAGACGACGGGACGGUGCUGCUCUCCACGGUCACGGCCCAGUUUCCGGGGGCCUGCGGGCUGCGCUACCGGAACCCCGUGUCGCAGUGCAUGCGCGGGGUCCGGCUGGUGGAGGGCAUUCUGCACGCCCCGGACGCCGGCUGGGGCAACCUGGUAUAUGUGGUCAACUACCCCAAAGAUAACAAAAGGAAAAUGGAUGAAACAGAUGCUUCAUCAGCAGUAAAAGUGAAAAGAGCCGUCCAGAAAACAUCUGAUUUAAUAGUGUUGGGUCUCCCAUGGAAAACAACUGAGCAGGAUCUAAAAGAAUAUUUUAGUACCUUUGGAGAAGUUCUUAUGGUUCAGGUCAAGAAAGAUAUUAAAACUGGUCAUUCAAAAGGGUUUGGGUUUGUUCGAUUUACGGAAUAUGAAACCCAGGUGAAAGUAAUGUCACAGAGACAUAUGAUAGAUGGCCGAUGGUGUGACUGUAAACUUCCUAAUUCUAAGCAAAGCCCAGAUGAGCCUCUGCGAAGCAGAAAGGUGUUUGUUGGGCGUUGUACAGAGGACAUGACGGCUGAUGAGCUGCGGCAGUUCUUUUGCCAGUACGGAGAAGUGGUAGAUGUCUUCAUUCCCAAACCAUUCAGGGCCUUUGCCUUUGUUACAUUUGCAGAUGAUCAGGUUGCCCAGUCUCUUUGUGGAGAGGACUUGAUCAUUAAAGGAAUCAGCGUACAUAUAUCCAAUGCUGAACCUAAGCACAAUAGCAAUAGACAGUUAGAAAGAAGUGGAAGAUUUGGUGGUAAUCCAGGUGGCUUUGGGAAUCAGGGUGGAUUUGGUAACAGUAGAGGGGGCGGGGCUGGCUUGGGAAAUAACCAAGGGAGUAACAUGGGUGGAGGGAUGAACUUCGGUGCUUUCAGCAUUAACCCAGCGAUGAUGGCUGCCGCCCAGGCAGCGCUGCAGAGCAGCUGGGGUAUGAUGGGCAUGUUAGCCAGUCAGCAGAACCAGUCAGGCCCAUCAGGUAAUAACCAAAGCCAAGGCAACAUGCAGAGGGAGCCCAAUCAGGCCUUUGGGUCUGGAAAUAACUCUUAUAGUGGUUCUAAUUCAGGGGCAGCCAUUGGUUGGGGAUCAGCUUCAAAUCCAGGGUCAGGCAGUGGUUUUAAUGGAGGCUUUGGCUCAAGCAUGGAUUCUAAACCUUCUAGCUGGGGAAUGUAGACAGUGGAUGACGGUUGGUUGUAUAGACUGGUGGGAAUUCAAAUUUUUCUAAUCUCAUGGUAAGUAUAUUGUAAAAUACAUAUGUACUAAGAAUUUUCAAAAUUGGUUUGUUCAGUGUGGAGUAUAUUCAGCAGUAUUUUUGACAUUUUCUUUAGAAAAAGAGGAAGAAUUAAAGGAAUUUUAUAAGUUUUGUUACAUAAAGGGUUGAAAUACUGAGUGUUUGAAAGUGAACUGCUGUUUGCCUGAUUGGUAAACCAACACACUACAAUUGAUAUCAAAAGGUUUCUCCUGUAAUAAUUUAUCCCUGGACUCGUCAAGUGAAUUCUUUGCAUGUUCAAAAUGGAAACCAUUAAUUAGAGCUACAUUCUUUUCUUUUAAUUUGAACCCCACCAUAUGGAUUUUUUCCUUAGGAAUAUCUCCUUUUUGGAGAUCAUGGUGUCACAGUGUUUGGUUCUUUUGUUUUUGUUUUUAACACUUGUCUCGGUUCAUAUGCAAAAGUACAAUAUGAAGCCUUCAUUUAAUCUCUGCAGUUCAUCUCAUUUCAAAUGUUUAUGGAAGAAGCACUUCAUUGAAAGUAGUGCUGUAAAUAUUCUGCCAUAGGAAUACUUCUGUCUACAUGCUUUCUCAUUCAAGAUUCCGUCAUCACACUGCACAGGCUGCGUCUUUGACGCCCUGAAUGCAAAGAAUUCAUAGCAGUUAAUUCCCCUUUUUUGACCCUUUUGAGAUGGAACUUUCAUAAAGUUUCUUGGCAAUAGUUUAUUUUGCUUCAAAUAAACUUAUUUGAAAAGUUGUCUCAAGUCAAAUGGAUUCAUCACCUGUCAUGCAUUGACACCUGAUACCCAGACUUAAUUGCUAUUUGUUCUUGCAUUGUCCAAAGUGAAAAGUUGUUUUGUUUUGUUUUUCUUUUUAAACCUGUCUUUUAAUAAGUCUGGGUGACCGCACCUAAAAUGCACUUGCACUAUUACUCAGCAGCAGUAACAUGGUAACACUUAAAAUGGUAUUCGGGGACCUCCAAAGACUAAACUGACAAGCCUUCAAGGAGCCCAGGGUUGUAAGGCCAAAAUAACCAAAUGACUGAUGCAGUCAGCACCUACCAACCUCUCCACAUGGAAAGGGGAUAAUGAGGACGUAUUAUUUGGAAAUAAUAACUUGGUCUAAGAGCCAAGUACCGAAGUUACAUUUCUGCCUACCACAGCUAAAGCUCUACUUAUUGUCUCCGACCCAUUCCACUUUCCAUCAAUUACGAAUCUCUUGUAUAAAUGUAUCCAUUACCAGGCUCACAGACUGGGAGUGAUUUUUCUCCUUUGGAGCUCGUCCAGAAUCCAUCAGCCUCACACACAUAUUUACCUGCAAAUCAUUGGAAAAGCAAAAAUGUUUAACUGCAUGUAUAAGGUGGUUGUCGUUUGCUUGAAUACCCCCUUAAAAAAUGUUGAUUCCUGAGCAUCCGUGGGAAAUAGAGGUGUCUGAAUAACCAUUUUACAUGAUUUCCUAAAUGGGAGGUCUCGGCAUUACCAUGUUUGCUUGCAAAGUGGAAACCUUUUAGAUGUGUAACUUGAAUAUGUAUCAAGAUCUCAAGUGCUUAAUGAUAAGGUUUUGACUUGUUAAAUUAAACCAUUUGGAAUAUA